UACGAAGGGGGCUAGCGUUGUUCGGAAUCACUGGGCGUAAAGCGCACGUAGGCGGAUCUUUAAGUCAGGGGUGAAAUCCCGAGGCUCAACCUAGGAACUGCCUUUGAUACUGGGGACCUCGAGUCCGGGAGAGGUGAGUGGAACUGCGAGUGUAGAGGUGAAAUUCGUAGAUAUUCGCAAGAACACCAGUGGCGAAGGCGGCUCACUGGCCCGGAACUGACGCUGAGGUGCGAAAGCGUGGGGAGCAAACAGG
rnacentral:rRNA from 1 species